rnacentral:rRNA from 1 species
GACGAACGCUGGCGGCGCGCCUAACACAUGCAAGUCGAACGGUGAAGAGGAGCUUGCUCCUCGGAACAGUGGCGGACGGGUGAGUAACACGUGAGCAACCUGGCUCUAAGAGGGGGACAACAGUUGGAAACGACUGCUAAUACCGCAUGACGUAUCGGGAUGGCAUCUUCCUGAUACCAAAGAUUUUAUCGCUUAGAGAUGGGCUCGCGUCUGAUUAGAUAGUUGGCGGGGUAACGGCCCACCAAGUCGACGAUCAGUAGCCGGACUGAGAGGUUGAACGGCCACAUUUGGACUGAGACCCGGCCCAGACUCCUACGGGAGGCAGGAGUGGGGGAUAUUGGACAAUGGGGGCAACCCUUAUCCAGCGACGCCGCGUGAGGGAAGAAGGUUUUCGGAUUGUAAACCUCUGUUGACGGAGAAAAAAAUGAUGGUAUCCGUUUAGAAAGCCACGGCUAACUACGUG